UACAGGUUCAAAUAAUCCAACAAGAGUCGGAAUUAAAUCAUUGAUCCCAGAAGAAAGGGACCACCACAGUGCUACGGAAAACAGGAAUUGUGAGAAGUUAUGGGAUCCAUUUUAGCUUGAUUUACUCACAGACUCCUUAAGCACACUUCAUAAGAUGAGGAAACUGAGACACUGGAAGAGGAAGUAACUUGCCCAAUGUCACUCAGCCAGGAAGAGGUGGAACCCAGCAUUGAAAUCCAGACAGUCUAACUCCAAAACAAAUAAACAAUACCACCACACUUUUAUCUUCUAGGCUAUACAUUUCUAAUGGCCAAUGAAGAAAACAAACUGAAAACAAAAUUCCUCCUUCCUGCUCUUGCUUAUUCCUAAUGGCUGUUCUUUUUAGCUCAUGUAGAAAAUAAAGUAGUAACAUGUUUCAGUACUUAUUGUAGCUCUAGUAAUUUCAGCUUGUAAAUUUGCUUUGGAAACCUUAGUGUUUAAAUAUUAAUCAAACAGAUGCAACUUUCCAAGCAACUGUUGUCAGAGAAAGAUCAACAUUCGUUAGAUUUUUACUUACUGACAAGUUAAAAAUAAGAUUAUGGUAGCUUUCCUACCUCCUGAAAAUCUGUUGCUCUUUAAGCCCCUCGUCAGAUUCAAAAGAAAUAUUUUGCACUCAACUUUAAAGCAGAGAUAUAUAAAAAUCAGCAAAUAAAUGAAAAAGUGAUUAAAUUCUUUAUUAAAGAUUUACCAAAAAAUAAUCCUUUAACUAUGUAAUCCUACAAUUGUUUUCAAAUACAAAUGAUUUUCCCCAUGUUUAGAUGUAUGUAUUUAAUGAAUACAACUCAGUAUAAUGAUCUUCCUAAAAAUGCCCCUUUUGUUUCCUUUUCUGAGACUUCUAAUGUAUUAAAAAAUAUAUAAUGCCAAAAAGCUUUUAUUAAAUUGUGAAAAAUUUAAAAUUUCCACACUUGUUAAAGAAAUACUUUUAAGCACACACAUGUGCAGUGAUUUGCUUGUAUUUUUCCCUUGAUGGUAACGGGAUUUAGA
rnacentral:lncRNA from 1 species